rnacentral:lncRNA from 1 species
CUGUGGCCUCAAGGCAGUAAGAGGAGCAGAUCUGACCUUUUCCCGUCAUCGCUGUAACCGACACCAAGUGAGAGAAGAGGUGGCUUCUGGACCAGGGCCGAGUCUGUUUGGAUGAAGCUCCAUUUGAACGAUGCCACUGACACUCUUAAAAUCGCACCCCGAAGGGUGUCCAUCACCUGCAGUUUGGAUCAGCUGACGGAACCGCAUCAGCCAUCACACGGUGCCAAGCGGAUGGCUCCCUGAUGACCGGCCACGACCAGCACUGAUGUGAAAGGCAGGCGACCCACCCAGGAGACGACUCUCUACUUGGCACCACACAAAGGUCAGGAAGGGCUUGGUGGGCUCCCGUGCACAGGCACAGAGAGGACUGGCAAGGUGGCGGCUGAGCUGAAACCAACAAGGAGCUUUCUUGGAAAUAAAAUGCGCAGUAUUUAACUCGUGUU